rfam:Tupaia chinensis contig173120, whole genome shotgun sequence.
ACAAAGGCUCUUUUCAGAGCCACCCACGUUGUCUGAGGAGAGUUGU